GGGGAGCAGCCCAGAGUCUGAAUCAGCAUGUGUGUUAGUGGAAGCGUCUGGAAAGUCGCACGAUACAGGGUGAAAGUCCCGUACACAAAAGUGCAUGUGUUGUGAACUCGAAGAGUAGGGCGGGACACGUGGUAUCCUGUCUGAAUAUGGGGGGACCAUCCUCCAAGGCUAAAUACUCCUGACUGACCGAUAGUGAACCAGUACCGUGAGGGAAAGGCGAAAAGAACCCCGGCGAGGGGAGUGAAAAAGAACCUGAAACCGUGUACGUACAAGCAGUGGGAGCACCCUUUGGGGUGUGACUGCGUACCUUUUGUAUAAUGGGUCAGCGACUUAUAUUCUGUAGCAAGGUUAACCGAAUAGGGGAGCCGAAGGGAAACCGAGUCUUAACUGGGCGUUAAGUUGCAGGGUAUAGACCCGAAACCCGGUGAUCUAGCCAUGGGCAGGUUGAAGGUUGGGUAACACUAACUGGAGGACCGAACCGACUAAUGUUGAAAAAUUAGCGGAUGACUUGUGGCUGGGGGUGAAAGGCCAAUCAAACCGGGAGAUAGCUGGUUCUCCCCGAAAGCUAUUUAGGUAGCGCCUCGUGAAUUCAUCUUCGGGGGUAGAGCACUGUUUCGGCUAGGGGGUCAUCCCGACUUACCAACCCGAUGCAAACUGCGAAUACCGAAGAAUGUUAUCACGGGAGACACACGGCGGGUGCUAACGUCCGUCGUGAAGAGGGAAACAACCCAGACCGCCAGCUAAGGUCCCAAAGUCAUGGUUAAGUGGGAAACGAUGUGGGAAGGCACAGACAGCCAGGAUGUUGGCUUAGAAGCAGCCAUCAUUUAAAGAAAGCGUAAUAGCUCACUGGUCGAGUCGGCCUGCGCGGAAGAUGUAACGGGGCUAAACCAUGCACCGAAGCUGCGGCAGCGACACUAUGUGUUGUUGGGUAGGGGAGCGUUCUGUAAGCCGUUGAAGGUGUAUCGUGAGGUAUGCUGGAGGUAUCAGAAGUGCGAAUGCUGACAUAAGUAACGAUAAUGCGGGUGAAAAACCCGCACGCCGGAAGACCAAGGGUUCCUGUCCAACGUUAAUCGGGGCAGGGUGAGUCGACCCCUAAGGCGAGGCCGAAAGGCGUAGUCGAUGGGAAACAGGUUAAUAUUCCUGUACUUGGUGUUACUGCGAAGGGGGG
rnacentral:rRNA from 1 species